rnacentral:rRNA from 1 species
UACAGAGGGUGCGAGCGUUAAUCGGAAUUACUGGGCGUAAAGCGCACGUAGUCGGCUUUGCAAGUCGGGUGUGAAAUCCCCGGGCUCAACCUGGGAACUGCAUCCGAGACUGCAUUGCUAGAGUAUGGGAGAGGGAAGCGGAAUUUCUGGUGUAGCAGUGAAAUGCGUAGAUAUCAGAAGGAACAUCAGUGGCGAAGGCGGCUUCCUGGACCAACACUGACGAUCAGGUGCGAAAGCGUGGGGAGCAAACAGG